GGGGAAUAGUCCAUAAUGGGCCCCAGCAUGACGCAGCGACGGCGCGUGAGGGAUGAAGGUUCUCGGACCGUAGAAGCGUGUCCGAGGGGCGGAGACCGCAUCGUGAGAAUCACAGCUGCAUCGAGGGUGCAGUCAAACGAAGCACCGGCUCACUCGGGGCCAGCAGCCGCGGUAAUACGGAGGGUGCAAGCGUUAAUCGGAAUUACUGGGCGUAAAGCGCACGUAGGCUGCUUUGUAAGUCAGGGGUGAAAUCCCACGGCUCAACCGUGGAACUGCCUUUGAUACUGCUUAGCUUGAAUCCGGGAGAGGGUGGCGGAAUUCCAGGUGUAGGAGUGAAAUCCGUAGAUAUCUGGAGGAACAUCAGUGGCGAAGGCGGCCACCUGGACCGGUAUUGACGCUGAGGUGCGAAAGCGUGGGGAGCAAACA
rnacentral:rRNA from 1 species